AUUGAACGCUGGCGGCAUGCUUUACACAUGCAAGUCGAACGGUAACGGGCCUUCGGGUGCUGACGAGUGGCGAACGGGUGCGUAAUGCAUCGGAACGUGCCCAGAGGUGGGGGAUAACGCAGCGAAAGCUGUGCUAAUACCGCAUGUGAUCUGAGGAUGAAAGCGGGGGACCAAGCAGCAAUGUUUGGCCUCGCGCUUCUGGAGCGGCCGAUGUCAGAUUAGUUAGUUGGUGGGGUAAAGGCCUACCAAGCCGACGAUCUGUAGCUGGUCUGAGAGGACGACCAGCCACACUGGGACUGAGACACGGCCCAGACUCCUACGGGAGGCAGCAGUGGGGAAUUUUGGACAAAGGGCGCAAGCCUGAUCCAGCAAUGCCGCGUGCGGGAAGAAGGCCUUCGGGUUGUAAACCGCUUUUGUACGGAACGAAAAGGCUCUGGCUAAUACCUGGGGCUGAUGACGGUACCGUAAGAAUAAGCACCGGCUAACUACGUG
rnacentral:rRNA from 1 species